rnacentral:rRNA from 1 species
GAUGAACGCUGGCGGCGUGCCUAAUACAUGCAAGUCGAGCGAACGGACGAGAAGCUUGCUUUUCUGAUGUUAGCGGCGGACGGGUGAGUAACACGUGGAUAACCUACCUAUAAGACUGGGAUAACUUCGGGAAACCGGAGCUAAUACCGGAUAAUAUUUUGAACCGCAUGGUUCAAAAGUGAAAGACGGUCUUGCUGUCACUUAUCGAUGGAUCCGCGCUGCAUUAGCUAGUUGGUAAGGUAACGGCUUACCAAGGCAACGAUGCAUAGCCGACCUGAGAGGGUGAUCGGCCACACUGGAACUGAGACACGGUCCAGACGCCUACGGGAGGCAGCAGUAGGGAAUCGUCCGCAAUGGGCGAAAGCCUGACGGAGCAACGCCGCGUGAGUGAUGAAGGUCUUCGGAUCGUAAAACUCUGUUAUUAGGGAAGAACAGAUGUGUAAGUAACUGUGCACAUCUUGACGGUACCUAAUCAGAAAGCCACGGCUAACUACGUG